GAACGCACAUUGCGCCCGCCAGCAUUCUGGCGGGCAUGCCUGUCCGAGCGUCAUUUCAACCCUCAGGGUCCCCCCGCCUCGCGCGGUCGGAGCCUGAUGUUGGGGAUCGGCCCGCCCCGCGCGGCGCCGUCCCCCAAAUACAGUGGCGGUCCCGCCGCAGCCUCCCCUGCGCAGUAGUUAUCAACUCGCACUGGAGCGCGGCGCGGCCACGCCGUAAAACCCCCGACUUUCUGAACGUUGACCUCGGAUCAGGUAGGAAUACCCGCUGAACUUAAG
rnacentral:misc_RNA from 1 species